rnacentral:lncRNA from 1 species
GGGAACAACGAGAAAGGUGAUUAUGUGUGGCUUUACCGUCUUCUUCUCCCUGGCUCCGGCGUAACCGAAACCCUAGCUGUUUCUGUCUAUCCCCUUUCAUCGUAUCAUGUACGAUUUUGUGCGCCAUGGAGAGCUCCGAUGACGAAAAGGAUCAUGUUAACGAGAAAUCCACAGGCAACGAAUCGACUCCUACCUCUGCUAACGGUACAAAGUUUGUAGAUGAAGUUCU